CAGAAAUAAAGAAAAGUAUAGAUGGAAAAAUUGAGAAAACAAUGGAGAAAAUGUAAUACCAAAAAGCUCAGAAAGGUUUGGGAGCUGCAUCUCUUCCUCUACAUCAUUUUGGAGGUCUUCCACUGAGAUUACCAGUCAGAGAUUGGGAGCUCCAUAUCUGAACUUCUUACUCCUUUGGAAUGUAUUAAGGAGCAAUUUAGAAUUUCUCUACAGCUGGGCAUGGUGUGCCUACUUCCUAAAGCCAAGUACACAGAGGAAAGUACUAUGAUGCUAUCUCAGAAUUAUACUGUAAAAGAGAGAAAAU
rnacentral:lncRNA from 1 species